UACGUAGGCACCAAGCGUUGUUCGGAAUUACUGGGCGUAAAGCGAGUGUAGGCGGUUUACCAAGUCGGUUGUGAAAGCUCCCGGCUUAACUGGGAGGGUGCGACUGAAACUGGCAGGCUGGAGUGCGGGAGAGGAGAGUGGAAUUCCUGGUGUAGCGGUGAAAUGCGUAGAUAUCAGGAGGAACACCGGUGGUGAAGACGGCUCUCUGGACCGCUACUGACGCUGAGACUCGAAAGCGUGGGGAGCAAACAGG
rnacentral:rRNA from 1 species